CCCGACGACAUGAUGCCGCUUACUCCUGG
rnacentral:sRNA from 1 species